GUGAUCGCUCUGGCAGCAUAUAUAUUAAAAUUGGAACGAUACAGAGAAGAUUAGCAUGGCCCUGUGCAAGGAUGAUACACAAAUUCGUGAAGUGUUACAUAUUUAA
rnacentral:snRNA from 1 species